CGCCGAAAGGCCCGAAACCGACUCCGGAUUUUGCCGACCUAGUUUGCUAUAUAUACCCACCCAACCCUUCUCAUAUUUCAUAACUUGCUUUUUAUUUUUUUGUAAGAGUUUUUUGUUUGGUACCGAUUGCGAUGAUAUUUUCAAUACGUCUAUGAUUGCUUUCACAGAUUCAGGUUUUCUUUGUUACGAAUCAGAGUUGCAGGUUUUCUUUGUUACAAAUCGGAUAUGAUUUUGUUGAUGCUAUCUUGUAGAAAAGAGCUUUAAGCUUUCAGAGUUACAUGGAUUUAUGUUUAUACUUGCAAAUUAGGGUUUUGUUUUUUUCAAUACCUGGCGGUUUUCUAGGAUUUCUUUCAAGAAAUUGCAAAGGGAUUUCAGAUUUAUAUGGAUUUAUCUUGAAUACGUUGGUGAUUGCUCUGUUUUUAAGCUGUCAGAGUUACCUGGAUUUAUGUUAGUACUUGCGAAUUAGGUAUUUCUUUCAAUACCUUGGCGGUGAUUUUCUAGGUUUUGUUUCAAGAAAUUACAGGAAUUUCAGAAUUAUAUGGAUUUAUCUUGUAUACCUUGGUGAUAGCUCUGGUUUUCUUUGCUUUGAUAGCUCUGGUUUCAUCGUUUUUUUGAGAAAUUUUUGAGGGAGACGGUAUUGAUUUAUUACUUUAUUGUGUAUGACUCUUGUGAUAGCUCUGGUUUUCUUUACUCUGGUUUUCUAGGGUUAACCUUGGUUUCGUUCAAGAAGCUGGCCAUCGUUUUUUUUGAGAAAUUGCAGAGGGAGACGGUAUUGAUGCUAUCUUGUGGAAGAGGGUUUUCCUUUCAGAACUAUAUGGAUUUAUCUUUCGCAACUACUGCUAUUCUGAGUUCAAGUUAAAAAUGCCAAUUACAAGAAAAUUUCUGUGUCCGUGGCAGGGUUUGAUUUGGUGAUAAGCUUCUAUUUUUUGCUAUCUUGAAGAAGAAUUAUAGGGAUAGUUUUCUGCUUGUUUUAAUCCAUUCUAAUACUUGGCCUGUGACUGCUUGUAGGCUUUGGUUUUGAAGGGGACUAUAAAUUCUGGUUCACUCAGUAAGGGUUGAAACAUCCAUUUUAUCUCGUCUUGUUUAAUAUUUGGUAACACCCUCUUAUUGGUGUGUGCUUUCUGGGAAAUAAUAUCAUAAUCUUAGAUUGUUGCUGAUUGAUGUCGUGGAAAGUGGGUGAGAAGAUAGUGUUCUUAGUUUGAAGUGUUCUGGAUUCAUAUUUAUCAACUGAGGUACAUAUGCUUUUUCAGAAGUUGGAGAUGUUCAUUUUGUAGUUUUGUGAGGACAAUUUUUUGUCAUUUUGAUCUUGAUAUGUGUACAGCAGUCAAAUUUGUUAAUAAAUAAAAAAAAUCUUUAUGUUACUCUAUUGAUUUCAAGUUUAUUUAUUUAUUUAUUUUAUUAAGUCUUUCAAUAUACUGUUUCCUACUAUACAUUCUCUAUUCUAUUUAUUCUAUAGAUUUUGGUCCUCAGCAGCUAUUUUAAGGUGUUUGCAUCACAGUUCUUUUGAUAAAAGUUUGAAAGGUUUGCAUCAUAAGUUUCGGUUACCAAGGAGCUAAUUCGUUCAGAAAGGUUUGCUUCAUAGUUUGUAACCUUAGAUUGUUGCUAAUUAAUUUCCUAGUUGUAGAAAGUGAGUGGUUAGAUACUGUCAUUGUCCAAUUAAGUCCAUUUUCAGGCUGAAGUUUUUGCCAUUUUGAUCUGUCUACAGGAGUGGAAACUGAUAUGGGAUUUCUUGUACUUGAGCAGUCGAGUUUAUGUAGAAGUCUUAAAUCUUUCUCAAACUUAAACUGUGUAGACUACAACAAUAAGAAAACUCAUACUGUCUUAAAUUUUACAUUUUUCUUAUAAGGCCUUUAAUAUAGUGUUCCCACUAACUGUGAUAUUAUACUGUCUUACAUUUUACAUUUUCCUUGUUCAAUUUAUUUAUAGGUUUUGGUCCUCAAUAGAUGUUUUAAGGUAUUUGUUUUGGUGAAGUUGGCUUUCCUUGAUUGAUGUGGUUCUUGUCUAUAGGAGCAUGAUUCCUUAUUGUUGUCUCGCUGAUAAUUAUGAGUUUUAAAAAGUUAAAAUAACAUUGUAAAAAAAAAAAAUUCUGGUGCUUCCAUUAUGUGUAUUUUAGGAUCCAUUUGUUCGGCUUUAACUAAUCUCAGCGUUACUCGGCAUUUUUGUUCCAGUUCCUUUUUCUAACUGCCAUCUACAUGCACUUAUUACAACUUUUAAGAACCUAAGAUUGUCAAUUUUGUCAUUGGGCAGUCAUAUAAGAUAAGAGCUGCCAGCUUUAAAAAUGGUUGUUUGAAUGCCAGAAAAAUAUAAGACUUACCUUGUAUGGAAUAGUUCUUCUAUUUGUUAUGCAACUUUUGCAAUUGUAGGUGCAUGGGAAACAAUCUCCCUGGAAUUUUUUUUUUUGGUGCUUGGCAGCUUAAGGCUUGCUGUUCUUGUUGGCAGCUUAAGUGAUGGAGUUUAGUUUGGCGAUAAGAAAUCUUUUUUGUCCCCUUGUUUUCUUUAUUCUCUCCUUCAAUCAUAUGAAUUAUAAGGAUAUUUUCCCUAUUGUUUUCUAAUAUUGGGCAACAUACGCUUUUUUUUAGGAUCUGGUUUCCUUGAGGAUUAUAAAUUUCAGUCUCACUGAACGAGGGUUUGAAAUUUCCAUUGAAAUUCUUGUCCUGCUUUCUAGUUUGACUUUAGUCAUUAUAUUUUGGCAAGCUUAUAUCUAAUUCGUAUGUGGUAAUGCCUUUUAUUAGUGUGGGUAGUUCCUGUGGUGAUUUGCAUGAGUUGGGCUUUGAAUUUUCAUCAUAGUCAAUAUCGAUUUAUUGUCAUUGGCAGAUUGAUAAGAUAAGAUCUGCACCUUCAAAAUAGCUGUUCUCUAAAUACAAGGUAUGGUAUGUCUACUUGGGAUGGAGUUUGAUGAGUAUCUAAGGCAAUAAUCUUUCUUUAUCAGUUGAUUUCACUAGUCUCUUCAUAAUAGCUGAAUGAUAAUGUUUCUGCUUGUGUGUUUUUUAAGUUCAUUGGCCUGGAACUUCAUUUUGUUAAUUGAAGUCUUGCUAUUUGUUGUCUAUUUCACCAUCGAUAUCAUUUUUGUUAGCCUACAACUAGAGGUUUAUUAUAUCUUGCUAUUUGUUGGUAGUCAGAAUUCUUGAAUCUUGAUGUGUCUACAGAUUGGGAAAUUAUGAUUUACAAUCUUGAUGUUUCUACAGCAGGGGAAAUGGUGAUUUAAUUGCACAAUAAAGUGCAUAAAAGUAUUGAAUUUUUAUAUGAGGAUCUAAGGCAAUAAUUUCUUUUUAUCAAUUUAUCUCAUCAUUCUCUCCCCAACAUGUGAAGAUUAGUUUUUUUGCUUGAAUGUUUCUCUAGUUUGUGCUAACAAUGGAGUUUUAUUAUGUCCUGCUAUCUAUUGCUAAUUCAAAGACUUUAAUCAUGAUGUGUCUACAAGUGGAAAAAUUAUGAUUUACUUUUUCAGCAAGAGUGUUUAAAAGUCUUUCAAUUAUCCUUCUCUUUUGAUUUCACCUUUUUUUACCCUUGAACAUGAUCUUGUCUCUUGUUCAAUUUAUUUUAUGGGCUUUGUUUCUUUGCAGAUUUUUUAAGGCAUGUAUGUUGGAUCGAUGUCUGCUUUUCUAAAUUUAUUUGACCCUCUUUAUUAGGAGCCCAAAUAUGUAUACUGUCUCUUCCCUUAUUGUUGUCCAGCAGGUUAUUAUUUAUUUAUUGAUAAAUAACGUAAGAACUUUUUAUUAGGGAAUAGCCCACCCAAGUACACUGGAAAUGUACUAUAUUGGCAGAAAUUAGUAACCCAAAUUACAAUGAUCAAGAAGAGCAGGGAGGGACAAAGAAGUGCAUGGAGGUAAAACUAAGCACCAUUCAAGGAGAGGGUGGAAGAAAAAGGAUUGGCAGGUUAUUAUGUGUUCCAAGUAUUUAAAAUUCAAUUUGUAAAUGAAAGUUGCUGACUUUAAUAAACUCUAGCAUUGCUCAUCAUGGUUGUCCUGGUUCCUUUUUCUAUUGCCAUCAACUUGCACUCAUGACAACUUUAGAACUUAAGAUCAUUUUUUUCUAUUGCCAUCAGCUUUGGUCUAUAUUGUGAAAAAUAAAUAAUAAAUUGUGAUUCAUUAUUGGGAAAUAUUUGCAUUCUUUAAACAUGGAUGCUCUUUAAAUUCCAGAACAGCAUGUGUAUGCUUCCUUGUGUCUUCUGUAUAGGUUUUAAAGUUAUAACUUCUAUGGAUGUGGUUUGUAUAGUUGGAUUGUGUGGGGGUGAUGUUUUGGGGCUUAUGGCUCUGUUGCCCCAAUUCUUGUGUUUAAAAAAUUUCAUGCUGUAUAUCUACUUGGGUGGCAAAGUUUGAUGGGGGACCUCAGGUAAUAAGCUCUCUUUAUGUCUUGAUUUCAUUAUUAUUUUUCUUAAUUUGAAGUUUUCAGUAUUGGAGUUAGAAAAACAAUUUGUUGGACUGACAUUGGGUUGAGAACAGGCUUCUAUUGCAGCUGUGUUUUAGUUGUUGCUUUUGAUCCUAAUACUCCCUUAACUACUUGCUUGACCCUUAAGAGGUUUUUGGUUUUCUGUUAUAUAUACAAUGAUAAUAAUGACUAAUUAUUUUAAUCUACAUUUUUAUUAUUGGAGAUUGGAUAUCUUGCUUGUCUACUUUGUCAGUUUUUUUAAUUAAAGUGGUGAUGCAUUUGUGGUACUUAAGCUAGGUUGAUUUUGUUUGGUUGCUUCUUGAUGAAAUAUGCUUUUGAGUAGUCUUGCUCUUUAUAAAACUUUUUAGAUUUUCCUGUAGAAGUAAAAUCUUAUAAUAUAUAAUCAUUCCAAACUAUGUAGCUGGAAAUCUGUUUUUCAGUUUGCUCGUGUGGUCAUCUUUCGCGCUUGUACAUUUGUCUUCUUGUCUUGUUUCUAUUGAUGUUUUCUUGCUUCUACUGGAACCUGGUUUUGUUGUGCCAGCAGCUCUUUCUAAUUUGGACUGUCACAUUGUCUGCAUGCAGUGAGCAAGAUGUUUUUUUUUUGGGUGCUUCAUAGCUUAAGCAGCUGAGUUUGGCGAUAAACUCCCUUUUUCUUCCCCUUUUUUUUUCUCUCCUUCAAGCAUAAUAAUUUUAAGGAUACAUAUUUCUUUUAA